rnacentral:rRNA from 1 species
CAAUAGCGUAUAUUAAAGUUGUUGCAGUUAAAAAGCUCGUAGUUGAAUUUUUGCUUGCCGCCGAUGUCGGAACUUCCGUACGUUCGGCGGCGUGCAUCCUUGGGUGGAACCUGUGUGGCAUUAGGUUGUCGUGCAGGGGAUGCUCAUCGUUUACUGUGAAAAAAUUAGAGUGUUCAAAGCAGGCUUACGCCGUUGAAUAUAUUAGCAUGGAAUAAUAAGAUAGGACCUUGGUACUAUUUUGUUGGUUUGCGCACCGGGGUAAUGAUUAACAGGGACAGUUGGGGGUAUUCGUAUUCCAUUGUCAGAGGUGAAAUUCUUGGAUUUCUGGAAGACGAACUACUGCGAAAGCAUUUACCAAGGAUGUUUUCAUUAA